CACAUGACUUUGCCUUAAAAACUACAAGUCCCACAAUGCACCACCGGCAGGCCAGUGCAGGCUGCUCAUUACCCUUUUAAGUUGGAACACCUGUGAAUGGAAGGUCUCUCAGCAAACAUAUCAGCAGAGAGAGCAACAAACAAAGGAUUCAACUCGUGGUACAACCAAAGGAGCCACUGGUUUUCAACCUGAUAGACCAACCACUCAUCAAGAAGAAACAAAUAAGGAAAAAAUAAAAUAAAAAUUGAGCUGUGUUGGAAAGAGUUGUCCCGUGCGUCCUUUGGGGUUCAUGUACCAGGCCAUUUCAAGUUGGGCAAGAGUUGAAAAACACCUAGGAACUUGACAAUAGUCAAGUGCCUUAUACAUUUGCAGAUCAAUGGACACCUGUACUCACCUGCUGUGUUUUCCACCUCUCCGGC